rnacentral:lncRNA from 1 species
UUUCAUAUAGUUUUUAUCUAGUGUAGUGGUACUAAAGUAUUUUUUUAUUUUGUAUGCGAGGUAAAGAAAGACAUGUAUGAUGAAGUGUAAUGUUUAUCUUAAUCUAUUAGCAAAACUCCAUGUUUUGUCAAAAUAGUUGGAUGCCUAAACUCUAGCUCAAGCAAAUGCUAAUCAAGUCACAGUAUUCCGGUAUGAUUACUGUGGUGGAGAUCAUGCAAAUAUCCAUUGUGUACAAGCCAGAUACCUUGGAAAAAUGUAUUAUGCUAGAAGUUAUCAAAAGCUAGAUCCUUACUUCGAUAACAAUAAUCCAUGGUGGGAUGAUCAUUCAAAUCUUGGCUUGAGUAACACUA